AACCUAGCACACCUGCGGUGUGUACCUGCGGAGGGAUCAUUAAAAAAAUCUUUUGCCCGCGGACCUUUUGUCGUCCAAGGCGCAAAAAGACCCACACCUGUGUGCACUGUUAUCGUUUCUUUGGCAGGGGCUUGGGUGGAAUUUUUUUUCCCUCAACUUCUCCUUCGGCUCUAUCCUUUCUCUCGGGGGGAGGACAGCUGGACAUGGGAAGCAGUUUACCCUGCCAAGUAAACCUCAAAC
rnacentral:misc_RNA from 1 species